rnacentral:misc_RNA from 1 species
UCGUUUAUGUCAUUACACAGAAAUAUUUCUGAUUGUCGUUGUGAGAUUUGUGGGAAAAAAUUUCCUUCUGAGCUCGAAGUUUCCGCCCACAAACAAAUACACAGCAGAGAAAAAUCGUUUGACUGUGGGACUUGUGGGAAAUCAUUCGCCCAGAACUCAAAGCUUAUUAUCCAUGUACGAAGCCACACGGGAGUGAAACCGUAUCACUGUGAUAUCUGUGGGAAAUCUUUCGUCAUUAAAAGUUAUUUAACAGCACAUAGACUUAUACACACAGGGAAAAAACCUUUCCGUUGUGAAAUCUGUGGGAAAUGUUUUAUCUCCAGCAGUUGUUUGACAAGGCAUAAACGAGUCCACACGGGAGAAAAGCCGUUUCGUUGUGAAGUUUGUGGGAAAUGUUUCACUCAGAAUUCUCAUCUUGUUGUUCACAAAACAACGCAUACAGAAGAAAAACCUUAUCCUUGUGAAAUGUGUGGGAAAUGUUUUGUGAACAAUAGUAAUUUAAGAACACACAUGAAGAUACACAACAGAGGAAACCCGUUUGAGUGUGAUGUAUGUGGUAAGUCCUUUCACGAUAAGAGUAAUUUAACGACACAUAAACGAAUCCACAGCGGGGAGAAACCGUUCCACUGUGAGAUUUGUGGUAAAGCUUUUACUCAGAAUUCCCAUCUUGCGAUCCACAAACGGAGCCAUACGGGAGAAAAGCCCUUCUACUGUGAAUUAUGUUCGAAGUCUUUUAUUUCCAACAGUGAUCUGACGAAACACCAAAGGGUCCAUGCGGGAGUGAAACCUUAUCGAUGUGAAUUGUGCGGAAAAUCUUUUCGUGAUAAUAGUAAUUUAACAACUCAUAAACGAAUACACUCUGGAAAAAACUUACAUGGCUGUGAAUUAUGUGGAAAAACUUUUAUUAAUAAUUCAAAACUUGUCGUCCACAUACGAAGUCAUACGGGAGAGAAACCUUAUCACUGUGAUAUCUGCGGCAAGUCCUUUUUGGCCAGUAGUUAUAUAACAGCACACAAAAUUAUACACACUGGAGGAAAACCUUUCUACUGUCAAGUAUGUGGUAAAUCUUUUGCGUAUAAUAGUAAUUUAACAAGGCACAAACAGAUACAUGCUGGAGGAGAUCUAAUUUUCAACUGUGAAACAUGAAAACUGUUUCUCUCACUAAUCUGUUGUGAGACCCAUUUUUGUUCCAACAUUUUAACUGUGAAUUAUGUGGGAAAACCGUGGAGGCACAAUGGCCCAGUGGUUAGGGCAGCGGACUCGCGGUUGUAGCAGGGGAUCUAAUUUUCGACUGAAACAUGAGAAUUGUUUCUCUCACAAAUCUGUUGUGAGACCCAUUUUUGUUCUGACAUUUUAACUGUGAAUUAUGAAGGCACGUGGCUCAGUGGUUAGAGCGUCGAGCUUACAAUCGUGAGGUUGUGAACUCAAAUCCCGGACCGGGCUGCGCGUUGUGUU